UUUCCUCUAGGUCUUUUAGACUAGAUCAUUCUUCCAAGUGUUUUCUUUCUAGUAUUUUGUUUAUUUUCUUCCCUACUAUUUUCUCCAGUCUCCGAGGUUUAAUUAAGUUUUUCUAAUUUAUUCUUCAGGAUUUUCCCUCUUAAUUCAUCUUUCUUCCUCUUGUUCUUUAGAAGGUAACUCGAUCAUUUUUCGUGCUUUGUAGAGCCGUCUUUAGGGUUUUAUCGUCUUCUAGCAGAGAGUAGGGUUGAUUCAGUCCUUAUUUAUUCGGUCUAAUCAAGUCCAGUCUUAGGAUCGGGUAUUAUGACUGUCGAUCCUUCGGACUGUCAGUACUAGAACCGAUUGAUAAAACAAGAAAUUAUGUUGAGUGACGUCAUCCAGAACCGACCUUUAUGAUUUUUAGGACUCAACUGGACGGGACUGCAGUUUUAAAAAAGGACUCAAGCUACACUACGACUAUCUCAAGGACAAUUAUAUAUUUUUUGCCUUUUUUAAUGAAAAAAAAAUUAGGAGUUGUAAGCAAUAUGGUGUGGUAAGGUUUUAAAUUUUUCUAUCAUUUCAGCCGUUUCGGGUGAAGCUAAAGUGUAAUGAAGUUUACUUUUUAUCUGGAUACCUAACUUCGUAGUGCCAGCUAAAGUCAUCUUUGGUUGAGUGGGUUAGUCUUGAUGUCAAGAUCCUCAAGCUUUGUUAUCAAACGCUUCUCCUUCACCAUUUUCCCGAUAGUUUUCUGAGUAUCCUUUUGGAUUCAUACUUACAUUCAGAUUAAAAGAAUCAAAUUGUUGCCAUAGGUUAACCAUGCCAACUCAGCGAAAAAUACGAUCUCAAUUAUUAGACGAUCGAGGAUGUAAUUUAAUCGGACUACUCAAUAGUAUCAGGAAACUCUUAAAGUGCUCGAUGGAAAGUAUAUACGGGUGUAUAAAAAACCCCACUAAAACUAUAACAUGUGGAAACUUCAUUUCAAGUAAUUGAAGACUGACAAAGCCCUGUAUAAGGAGGUAUGUUACAAAAAGCCAAUUUAUGGAGAGAGAAAACCUUGCAGAAAAGCGUACGUGGAAGUUUAUAAGUGUUUCGGGAAUCCUCGUUGAAAUGCUAGAUGUUUAUUACUUAAAUCGAGAAAAUCAAUUUUAUGUUAUUUAUAUUUAAUGUAGAUGAAUUUUAAAUCUU
rnacentral:lncRNA from 1 species